AUUAAAUAAGCUUUUAUAGCAUUUCACUUACACUGAAAAUAAUCUCUUAAUA
rnacentral:tRNA from 1 species